GCAAGGGGGUCAUCCCGACUUACCAACCCGAUGCAAACUGCGAAUACCGGAGAAUGUUAUCACGGGAGACACACGGCGGGUGCUAACGUCCGUCGUGAAGAGGGAAACAACCCAGACCGCCAGCUAAGGUCCCAAAGUCAUGGUUAAGUGGGAAACGAUGUGGGAAGGCCCAGACAGCCAGGAUGUUGGCUUAGAAGCAGCCAUCAUUUAAAGAAAGCGUAAUAGCUCACUGGUCGAGUCGGCCUGCGCGGAAGAUGUAACGGGGCUAAACCAUGCACCGAAGCUGCGGCAGCGACGCUUAUGCGUUGUUGGGUAGGGGAGCGUUCUGUAAGCCUGCGAAGGUGUGCUGUGAGGCAUGCUGGAGGUAUCAGAAGUGCGAAUGCUGACAUAAGUAACGAUAAAGCGGGUGAAAAGCCCGCUCGCCGGAAGACCAAGGGUUCCUGUCCAACGUUAAUCGGGGCAGGGUGAGUCGACCCCUAAGGCGAGGCCGAAAGGCGUAGUCGAUGGGAAACAGGUUAAUAUUCCUGUACUUGGUGUUACUGCGAAGGGGGGACGGAGAAGGCUAUGUUGGCCGGGCGACGGUUGUCCCGGUUUAAGCGUGUAGGCUGGUUUUCCAGGCAAAUCCGGAAAAUCAAGGCUGAGGCGUGAUGACGAGGCACUACGGUGCUGAAGCAACAAAUGCCCUGCUUCCAGGAAAAGCCUCUAAGCAUCAGGUAACAUCAAAUCGUACCCCAAACCGACACAGGUGGUCAGGUAGAGAAUACCAAGGCGCUUGAGAGAACUCGGGUGAAGGAACUAGGCAAAAUGGUGCCGUAACUUCGGGAGAAGGCACGCUGAUAUGUAGGUGAAGUCCCUCGCGGAUGGAGCUGAAAUCAGUCGAAGAUACCAGCUGGCUGCAACUGUUUAUUAAAAACACAGCACUGUGCAAACACGAAAGUGGACGUAUACGGUGUGACGCCUGCCCGGUGC
rnacentral:rRNA from 1 species